CCUACGGGUGGCAGCAGUGAGGAAUAUUGGUCAAUGGCCGGAAGGCUGAACCAGCCAAGCCGCGUGAAGGACGAAGGUGCCAAGCAUUGUAAACUUCUUUUGUCAAGGGACAAAAUCAGGCUCGAGAGCCUGACCGAGGGUACUUGCAGAAAAAGCAUCGGCUAACUCCGUGCCAGCAGCCGCGGUAAUACGGGGGAUGCGGGGGGUAUCCGGAUUGAUGGGGGUAAAGGGGGGCGUAGGCGGACUGUUAAGUCAGCGGUAAAAGCCCGGGGCUAAACCCCGGCGAGCCGUUGAAACUGGCUGUCUUGAGAGGUGGAGGGGUAGGCGGAAUGCGCGGUGUAGCGGUGAAAUGCUUAGAUAUUGCGCAGAACUCCGAUUGCGAAGGCAGCAUGCUGGCGGCGAUCUGACGCUGAGGCACGAAAGCGUGGGUAGCGAACAGGAUUAGAUACCCGUGUAGUC
rnacentral:rRNA from 1 species